ACACACUCAACACACACAAAUUGAACCUAACCUAGAAGCAGCUAAGAAAGAAAGAAAAGAAGAAAGAAAGGGGAAGAGAGGAGGGGGAUCCGUGAGAGGGAGAGCACCGGGUAAGAGGGAGGAGCCGUCGCACCACCGCCGCGCUGCUCAGGACGCCACCUUGCCACCGCGACCAGUCGCCGUCGCGCCGCCGUGCUGCACAGAGGAGGGAGAAAGUGCAAAGAACAGAGGGAAGAGAGAGGAAGAACACGCGCCAGGGAGCUCAGUUGCGGGGAGAGGAGACGUGUGGCUAACCCGUCGUCGCCGGUCCGUAUAGCUCGACCAGCCGCCGCCGUCGUCUCUGUCCCAAACCGUCGCCAGAUCCGCCGCUGUCACCGGGAAAGGGAGCCGAUGCAAAGAGAGCCGCGCGUGGAGGAGAGAGAGAGAGAUCCGAGACUGAGCUGGUUCUCCUCACUGCCGAUCUGUCCAGCCGCCGUCGUACCCUCCGUCGCCGCCGAGAAACGCCACCUCCUUUACCUACGACCACCGUCGUUGCUGCCGCCGCAAACCGGUCGCCGCUGCCACCGCAAAUCCGUCGCCGCUGCCGCGUGAGGUGGAUGCUGAGGCCGCCAAACUAGUUCAGAGAUCGCCGCUAUUUCGUCUUCGUAUUGCAGGAUUAGAAAUCGAGUGUUGCAUGUCGCGAUUGAGGCUGUUCUGCUAUUGAGAAAGCAAGCGGAGCUGAUGUUUCGGUUGCGGUUGAAUUCAGGCUGAGCGAAAAGAGUUUAGUUGACACGUUUGGGUUAUGGUUUUGCUUAUUGAGGAACCGGAAGAAGAAGCAUUAAGAGGAGUUAUACUGCGUUUGAUUUAUAUGUUGUUGAAUUAAAUAGAUUAUUUUCUUCCUUCGCCUUUGUUAUUACAAUUUUGUAAGAGGGAUAGGAGUUGUAUGUUUUAUAUAUAUUAUAUUAUAAGAUAUUAUGUAAAAACUCUUGUAUUUGAAUCUGUGUGGUUGUUUUUUUUUAUGAAGUUUUUAUUUUUGGUUUUAAAAGAAAUCAGCGAUACAGUGUUGAGU